rnacentral:rRNA from 1 species
CCUACGGGAGGCAGCAGUGGGGAAUAUUGCACAAUGGGGGAAACCCUGAUGCAGCAACGCCGCGUGAGUGAGGAAGUAUUUCGUUAUGUAAAGCUCUAUCAGCAGGGAAGAAAAUGACGGUACCUGAGUAAGAAGCCCCGGCUAACUACGUGCCAACAGCCGCGGUACUACGUAGGGGGCAAGCGUUAUCCGGAUUUACUGGGGGUAAAGGGAGCGUAGACGGCAGUGCAAGUCUGGAGUGAAAGGCGGGGGCUCAACCCCCGGACUGCUGUGGAAACUGUACGGCUGGAGUGCAGGAGAGGUAGGUGGAAUUCGUAGUGUAGCGGUGAAAUGCGUAGAUAUUAGGAGGAACCCCGGUGGCGAAGGCGGCUUACUGGACUGUAACUGACGUUGAGGCUCGAAAGCGUGGGGAGCGAACAGGAUUAGAUACCCUUGUAGUC